UCGAUCCUACGGGGGGCAGCAGUAGGGAAUCUUCGGCAAUGGGGGCAAUCCUGACCGAGCAACGCCGCGUGAGUGACGAAGGUUUUCGGAUCGUAAAGCUCUGUUGUAAGAGAAGAACGUGUGUGAGAGUGGAAAGUUCACACAGUGACGGUAACUUACCAGAAAGGGACGGCUAACUACGUGCCAGCAGCCGCGGUAAUACGUAGGUCCCGAGCGUUAUCCGGAUUUAUUGGGCGUAAAGCGAGCGCAGUCGGUUGGAUAAGUCUGAAGUUACAGGCUGUGGCUUAACCAU
rnacentral:rRNA from 1 species